rnacentral:rRNA from 1 species
UACGGAGGGUGCAAGCGUUGUUCGGAAUUACUGGGCGUAAAGAGCACGUAGGCGGGCGUGUAAGUCAGAUGUGAAAUCCCCGGGCUUAACCUGGGAAUUGCAUUUGAAACUGCAUGUCUUGAAUGCCUGAGAGGAUGACGGAAUUCCUGGUGUAGAAGUGAAAUUCGUAGAUAUCAGGAGGAACACCGGAGGCGAAGGCGGUUGUCUGGCGGUGCAUUGACGCUGAGGUGCGAAAGCGUGGGGAGCAAACAGG